UAUUUUGUUGGUUUGCGUGUUGGCGGAAUGAUGAAGAGGGACAGUUGGGGGUAUUCGAAUUCUAGUGUCAGAGGUGAAAUUCUUGGAUUACUAGAAGGCGAACGACUGCGAAAGCAUUUACCAAGGAUGUUUUCAUUGAUCAAGAACGAAAGUAUGGGGAUCGAAGAUGAUUAGAUACCAUCGUAGUCCAUACCG
rnacentral:rRNA from 1 species